UACGGAGGGUGCAAGCGUUAUCCGGAUUCACUGGGUUUAAAGGGUGUGUAGGCGGGUAUUUAAGGCAGUGGUGAAAUCUCCAGGCUCAACCUGGAAACUGCCAUUGAUACUAUUUACCUUGAAUUCUGUUGAGGUGGGCGGAAUACAUCAUGUAGCGGUGAAAUGCUUAGAUAUGAUGUAGAACACCAAUUGCGAAGGCAGCUCACUAAACAGACAUUGACGCUGAGGCACGAAAGCGUGGGGAUCAAACAGG
rnacentral:rRNA from 1 species